rnacentral:lncRNA from 1 species
CUUUUCCAAUUUUUCUAAGCAUCUGAUCCCUGGCGGCAGUAAGGGUGGCUACCAUGGCCUCACAUGUUGUACCUUGCAGGACACCUCCUCCACCACCACUAAACAAGAAUGAACUCGGAAGGUUCAGCAUUUUUCCAAACCAAUCCAUGACAACAUUCUCCAACUCAGUUGCAGCCGGGGAUGACAUCCAGUUAAACCCAACGGUACCGAAGCCAGUGCUGAGAACUUCGCCAAGAAAUCCAGGGAUGCUCAUUGAACAAGGGAAAAGAGCAAAAUGAGUAGGACUUUGCCAAUGUGUAAUGCCUGGAAGAAUAUCUUUUUCAACAUCAUUAAGAAUUGUUUCAAUGGAUUCAGGGUGAUAUGGAGCUGAAUCUGCCAAACGGCUCUUAAGGUACCCUGGAUCUACUUGGCUUCUUACGGGAUAUUUUUCAAUAUUUUGAUAAUAAUCAGCAAGGAAAUCUAUGAUCAUGUGGCCUUGCCUUCUGAACUCCUCAAUGUCUAGAGGACUAUCAGGGUUUGAAAUUUGGCUAAUCAAUUCACCAUUACAAAUACCCAUUUGGGGAGGAUAUGAAUCAAAAACUAUGCUAGAGUACUUGUUCAAAUGGGAUUGUGUGUUUUGAUAUAAAUUUAUAGGAGUUUCCAUUCAACUCAUGGUUCUAGUCAUGGGCUGUGGCCGCGUCGCUGUCGCAAUUGUUCCACGUCCAUCGCUAUAUAUGGGCUGGAUAUCAAGUAAUAUACACAUUAUAAUGUAUAAAAUUUUUUAAAAAAUCUGAAAAAAUUAUUAAAAAUAAAAAAUAGCAUAAAAGGCAUAAUCUAAAAAAAAUCUAUAUUGACUCCGAAUUGACUUGGAUAUUUUGGCCGAUUUCAUGCAUCACGGAUUCGAAUCGACCAAUAUCGAUCGAAUCAGAGCGAGUCACCGCAGAUAUAGAAUUAUUCACGAUUCGGGAAUCAGUAUUGUACUGGUCCCUCCGUUCUGAUUAUGACUCAACCGAGAUAGCUAACUAUGAUUCAACUGAACAAGACUAACUACAGCUAUAUAUUCGAUAAUACUCUGUAGUUAUCUGAUUAGUUACAAACUAACUGGCAAUUGUCUGGAGAUCAUUUUGUGCUGCUUCUACGAGUCACACAAGGAAGUCUAUCUUCUACCUCGUUUCACUAAUGAAGUUUUUGACGGUCGCAACUGGAGCCCUAUACAAGAAAAUGGGCCGGUUUAGAGAACCAAUUAUGGAGUGGCUGCAUUAGCAUUAGAAGAGAAAUCUUUUUUAUCAAAUGCUGGCAUGUAUACGGGUUAUAUUCCUAUGACGUGGGGAAGAAAACUAAUAAAACAAAGAUAUGUAGGAUGUAAACAACAUAAUAUUUAUAAAUUACCAUGAAAUCAUCUUAAUGAGAUAUUUGAGAUCUCAGAACAUGGAUUAAAGUCGUGGUCUCAGUUGCGAUUGCAAUCGUUGCUGAUCGUGAUGGAAUUGUCACGGUCUUGAUGGAAUUGUCAUUAGUAUUAGUAUACAAUUAUCCCGAACUUAGAUACUUACCUAUACAUUUGGGAAUAACUUCACUUUUGCUUUUUUAAAUUUGUAACUUAUUCUCACUUUGCAAUUUAAAGUUUAACUUUGGAUAGUUUAUAUCCCAAUUUCUCAUAUUUGUCUCGCUUCAAUCUACUUAGUGACAACAAUAGCAAAACUAACUGUUCGUACACAUAAGACCUCUUUUGCCCAACUGAUAGGGAUUGUGAGAUGGUAGUAAUAUACUACUACUCUCUCGUGGCUGAAGUAUAAGUUGCAUGUACACUUCUCUAUUCCUUUAGUUUUACUAAUGCUGUUACCAAUUGGAUUUAAGCGGGACAAAUCUAAAAAGUUAAAUAUACAAAUUGUUCAAAAUUAAAAUUCAUGAUAUAAAGUAAAAAUAAGAUACAAUUUCGGGGGUGGAAAAUGAAUUAGUCUAAACAGUGCUAAUAGUAAAAAAAAAAAAAAUGUAAUAUGCGUGCUCUUUAUUUGUACAUCAAACAAAUGAUACAACCUACAGUACGAAUGAUGCUUGCUUUUUUGUCCCUCCAUUUUCGUACAAUUAUCAAUCGAUUUCCCCUACAGUACGAAGGACGGUUGUGAACAACCAUCAUUGCUUCGACUGUCGGCAACUUCAUUUGACUGGCACGAUGUUGCCAGUAAGGUAGGUGAAAGAAACUGACCAAAAUUGCUGCCUACCACCGCUUUUACUUAAAUAUCAUAUUCAAAAUUCCCACGUUCCCGAUGUGUACACUUUGAGCACCACUCAUUUUUAACCCACACAUUCAAGGCCAAGUAAAUAAAAACACAAGAUAUGGAAGUCGCUGUCUCUAUAAUGUGAGAAACUGUUUAAACGACACCAUCAAAUCAGGUAAAUAAAAAUUUUUACCUUAGAGCCACUUUUUGCAAAUGACUAGAGCCCCCACUUCUUGUAAAUGACCAGACUUUAGAGCCCAUAUUGAGUGGCUACACAAGGAAAUGCAAGAAGCACUACAAAUGGUAUUGGGCGUUUCUCGCUUGGCCUUUGUACUAGGCCCGACUACACAAGGAAAUGUCACGCAAGUCUACAAAGUUCUAAAGGCGGAGAGCAUGUCUAAGUGGAUAGUUGGGAUAGUAAUGAAUUUUGCAAGGAAAAUUCUCAAUGUGGGGAGGGGGAAAUGUCCUAUAUUUGUUUUGCAAAGAUGCAAAGUUUUAAACGUGAGGAAAGUGAAAUGUUCCGCAUCAAAAGAAAAUAGGGAAAAGAAAUAGUAUAUAAUUUGAGACCCAUGAAUUACUGAAUAAGUUUAAGUUAAUUAUUUUGAAUUCGUAAAAAAUUAUUUGGGCCAAUCCGUAGGUUGUAGGUUGUGGACUUUAUAGAUUGUGCGAGUUGGGUAUCUUGUGUUUUGAUGUAAUUUAUAGGAGUUUCCAGUCAGCUGGACAAGAUUAACUGGGUAAUGCGCGUGUUGUGGUGGUUGAGCAAAAGCGAGGGUCAAAUUGACAAAAUUCUAAUGUUUACCGCGUGCACAAGUUUGUGUUACUCGUGGGGCAUGAAAAUCACAUCUUGAUCAAAGUGUGAGCCAGGUUGAAAAUCAAGGUUUAUUCAAUGUAUCCAUAUCUAUCUGUUUUUAAGUAGUAAAAAAUACCUGCAUUGCACGUGUUACUGCACUAACAAAUUUAGAAACAUGUGAGACAAAUUUUGCACACCUUCAGCCGACACAUGUUUAACCAACACGCGUUUAAACUUCAAAACCAAGUAAAUAACAAUUUUGUGUUAGAAAAAUAUGAGAACAAUGGGUUCUAAAAAUUAGUAUGCAAAAGGGUUCUAAAAAUGAACGCUCUAGGAUAUACACAGCCCCUAUUUGACAACAUAUUACACCAACAUGGGCAAACCUUUGAGCACUCAAUAUUUGUACGAUUGUCAGAAUAUUCUUCAGAGUGCUUAUUGUAGAGGAGAAAGAAUAGUGAACUUUUUGUUGUUGUAACCAUUUGAUAGUUAGCUAUAUAGGGUACUAUGUCUGAACAAUAAAGAGAACAAAUCCCUCGUUCACUUCAACAAACAAAUGAAGAGUUACAACAGUCAUGCACAUUCACAAACGAAUAAUUACACAUAAUUGACAUAAAACAAAAGUCCCACUAUUUUGAAGUUCUCUUACAUUUUCCAAUUAAAGACUUGAAGGCUAAACCAGGCACAAAGCUAACCAAAGUAGAAAACGAGGUAGGCUAUAUAUCUAUAGGAUCGAAAAGCAGAAGUUGAGAGUUGAAGAGUGAUGGAUUGGAAUUCUGGCGAUCUUAGUUAGGAAGGAGAUAUUAAAAGCCAGCCUGGGGUGAGUAAGAGAAGUAGCUGAGUGCAAAGAGUUGGGAGACCAGCCUCUUUCAGAAAGAAAGAAUGAAGCAGAAAAGGAAAGGAUAUCAUGGUGCACAAGCAAAUGGAGUUAGGCUCAUUUCCUACCCUAGUUUGAAGUAGAGCAGAACCAUCCUAGUUCAGAGCUGUACCCAUCCCAAAGAAAUUCAUUCUCAAAAUGUUUUAACACGUACUAGAGUUUGGAUAUAUAUUGGUAUUAGUGAAUUUCAAUUUGUCCAUAUCCAAAAUCCAAUUUAGAUUGGUUCGACAAGUUUUUCAGUAUUCCUUUUGUAAAAUAUUACAGAUAAUCCUAACUAGUUUUUUGGCUCCUGCAUCAAUUACCAGAUCUUUUUAUUUUUUUUCUUUUGAGUAGUUGUAAAGCUGUGUAAGUGUCACGCCUCGAGCCCGCACGUGCCCGUCACCUGACAUCUGCCGUACUUCCAAGUUUCACUUAAGAAUACAAGGCUACAUUAACUAGUUUAACUUUAACAGUAAUAAAUAAUUUAACUAAAUAAAGUGCGGUAUGAAUUACAUAUAAAAGGAAGUCUACGAAUAUUCAAAACGUUCGUACAUUUAUUCUCUGAUGGAAAUAGUGGAAACAAAAGUAAAUAAGACUAACAGCCAGAAGUAACUAGCCUGCCAAAUGAAAUUCAUCUAAACUAAUAAAAGUCUUCCUCAGGGUCUUUUACGUAAACCAACUCAUACUCCUCAGAAUCUGCAAGAAUGGUAAAAAGUGGGUUGAGCGACAAAUCACCAAGUAGGUAAUAACUACCCCUCUGUGGACCAUGUACUCGUAGCUUUGUAGAUACAUAUACAUAUAUAUAUAUAUAUAUAUAUAUAUAUAUAUAUAUAUAUAUAUAUAUAUAUAGAUACAAAUCAAAUCAUUUGCACAUCGAUCACAUCCGAAAUUUGAAAGUAACGUCAUUUAUAAGACAAUCAGUAGUAACCACUGACCAGCAAUUUAAAAGCACCUUAUUGAUAAAUGAACAUGGAAAAUCAUAACGUUGUAAAUCAUUUCGUCUCAAUUCACAAGUCUCUUCACAUCCACUCAUAAAUCAUUUCGUCUUAGCUCAUAACAAGUACAUGUGAUAACCGAUUACUGAGUACUCAGUAUAGAGAUUAAACCCUUUCUAGGUGGCGACUAAUAGGUUUCAUGACUACCGAUUGACCUCUUUUCAUACAUGGGUCAAUCGGCCGAACUUUGUACCAGGGUACCAUGACCUUGCCAAUCGGCCGGACUUUAUACCAGGCUACCAUGGCUUUGUUAAUCGGCCGGACUCUAUACCAGGUUACCAUGACCUUGUCAAUCGACCGGACUUUAUACCAGGCUACCAUGACGAUUAGACAGGACUAUAGCCCCUACCGUCUAUUCCAUGACUGUUUUAAGAUUUACUUGUCAAAAAUUGAUUCCACACAUCACAUACAUAAAUCUUUGAUUUCAAAAAGAUUCAGCUUGUUUGGUACAUAAUAACAUAUCAAAAUAUUUCAAAUAAGUCACAUGGUCCAUUUUUGUAUAGUAAAACACUACUACAAAAAUGUCGUUUUACGACAUUUAAAAGCGUCAUUAUAGCUCGAUGUAAUGACGUUUGAUCUAUGAUGACGCUCUGCUAGAAACGUCGUCCAUUCCAGCGUCACUAUAGGUUUAUGACAGUUGCACGGGUCCUAAUUUGUAGUUCUGUUGGCAUUUAUAAAUGUUAUUAUUUAUCCUUUUAAUGACACUUUUAAAUGACAAGAAAUGCUGGAGAACAGGUAAGGUUAUAUGAAUCUAAAGUGACACUCGAUGCCUGUCAUAUAUUGGAUCUAUCAAGACACUUCUAUUAUGUAAGUACAAUAAGAUAUUAUGACACAUUUGCAGUAUAAGUAAAAUGAAAUAUUAUGACACUUUUAUGGUGUAACUAGAUUAGGUUGUUCUGACACUUGUUAACAUGAAAAUUUGUGAAUAUUAUGAACUGCAAAACUCGAAGUGGUGACACUUUUAAGUGUCAAUACAUCAUAUUGCAUUAGCCCUGUGUACCAUCCGGAUUUUUAUACCCAAAAGCAGAAUCACAUUUCAUCCUGCCUGCACAAUAUAGAUUCUAAUUUUUGGAAUAAUAAAAUUAUUAGCACCAUCUUAUAAAGGAAAAUCAAGGUGAUUUACAUUUUCAUAGUAAUUAGUGCAAUACAAGCAGCCAAACUGGUGCAAAAGUACAUCAUCCAAGUAACUUACAUGGCUACUAUAUCAACAAAUUACAUGCCAAUUCAGAGAUUUUUCAAAAGUUAUGAGUAUUGCAGUAGCAUUGCCAAUACAUAUCAAAGAAACAAUAAUUCAACAAGAACUCAACAAAAAACGCAUUGACAAUGUCUUCACAAAAUAGCCAUUUGACCCAAGGAUCCUUUAGUUUUCUUCAAGAAUCACCUACAAGUGUCAUAAACUAAGAAAUAGGAGUUAUAAUCACAUCUACAGCUCUUCUUUUACAGUUUUAAUGUUAGAAAAUAAAUAAAAACUAAGUUAAACAAAUGAUAAAGAUAAGAUAAAAAGAUUACCAGGUUUAUUGGCCAAGCAAUAGCUACUCCAAUUGCAUCUCCAAUCUUGCGAAAAUUAUGGUAUGGCCUCAUUAGCUCUUCAUCAUUCUCCACAGGCACAUUCACAUGGAUUUCACACCAAUGUGAUCCCAAAGGUGUGUCACCAACUUCAGAAGUUGGAUCCAAAUUUCUAACCACUCCAACAGCACAAAUUUUGCUCGAAUCAACCAUGCUUCUUACUGUAACUUUAUCCCCAACCUUAAAAACAAAUUUUAUAAAACAUAUAACCACAUAUAAGAGAGCAAGUCUUGAAUAGAUAUUCAAUACACAAUACCACAAGAAUCAACCCAAAAUGACAGCCACAACAAGUACCAAAACCAAAGUGCAGUCCAUUACAAUCAAUAAUGAUAUCCAAAACAAGAAUCUCCACAAUUAACAUAAAGCAAUUACAAACAUGUUCAUGAAAACCAUUUGUGAACGUAACAUCUAAAAAAGGUCAUAAUUGAACUGUUUAUUACUUUUAUUGGCCGAAGAAUAGCAUUUGAUGACUGUGAAGUAUAUCUUUGCUGAGAUGGCGAACUUUGUCCUUGUGAUCUUCCUUGUUGAAUUGAUUCUAGUUGCUGAAUUCUUCGCUCCAUUUUUGACAUCGCAGCGCUUUGUUCCAUAACCAAGCGAAAACAUGUUGAACGACUUGGUAUAUCACCCCACAAAUCAGAUUGUGUAACUCCUAAACCAUAUGUACGAACUCUUCCACUCCUUUCUUCACCCAUUACUCUUGCAAACACGUCAUUCCUACCCACACUAUCUUCUUCUCCUUCUGGAAGUUGAUUUUUUAAGCCUUCCAUCUCCUCCUAAAAUUAACAAUUCAAAGUUAUUAUAUUCUCGUUCUUAUCGUAAUAGAAAAAGCCUGUUUAUGAAUGAAGUGAAUAAGCAGCAAUAACAUACCAUUUUUUCCCCAACUUCAUAACUAGAUGGCACUCCAUUAGAAUUAGUGUAGCAUAUGGUGAACAUAUCUGCUCUAGAGAGAGGAUGCCCAACCUCUUUUUCCUACAUAUAAUAGUACAUCCAAAGAAUAUAUUAGAAUGAAAAAUUAGACGUUUUUACCAAUUUAAUAUUAUACCUUUUCUACUCGAACUUGAGCAAAUGGCUUUUUCCCUGUACUAUGAUUCAUCUUUUUCUUCUCUCGAUGCUUCUUGUUUGUUGCAGAUAUUCUCUACAUAGUUAAACAUAACAGAAAAUAGUUAAGUAUAGGCAAACAGAAAAAAUGAUCACUACUAUGACAACAUUUCAUACCUUUGACUCUUCGGAAAGCCAUUUAGUCAAGAUAUUUCUCCAUUGCUGUGGAAGAACUCGUUUUGGUCUUUUAAGCACUUGACUUUCAAUUGACUCAUUUGGACUGAAAUAAGUUUUCUUGAGAGCAUGCUUCCAGCUUCUCCAUUUCUUUCCUAUUGAUUGCUUAACUCGUUCUUCUAUGCCAACAGGGAGAUCAAAUUUUUCCUGUAAUAUUGAAUACUCAAUUAAAAGAGAACAAGCAUUCAACUAAUGUAGCAGGUUCAAAAAAUGGAUACCUUUACUACAUCUAUCAUGUCAUUCUUUAAAGACUUGGGAAUCUUACGCCAACUAUCAAUGUCAAUUGGUGCAUAUUUUCCAAUUCUUGCCAAUGCUCCCAAAAAUUCAUUGAAUUUGCUUCUAUUUGUACCAACUGGCUCACCAAGUGUAUUGAAUUUCACUUUAAUUCGUUUGUCAGUACCAUGUCUAGCCCAAAUGUGUCUCAUAUAAGUUGGUCCUCGAGUUUUCUUAGGCUCCUCAUCAUCAGAACCACCACCUGCAAGUAUAAUAGACAAUUAUGACAUAUCUUAUGAAGUAGCAACUAUUGUUAUAGAUUAUAUGUAAAUGAAAUAUUAAGUAAUUAGUAAUGAAUAACAUACCAGUGCCUUCCUCAUUUUCCAAAUUUUCAGGAUCUUCAUCACGCAAUUGAAAGCUCCUUUCUCCUCGAUAGCUUUUUCCUCCUCUUGUUCUCGCCAUAUUUGUACAACUACAAUUUUAAAUUCAUAACAAAAAGUGUACAGCUAACAGCAUAUUACCAUGUAAUAAACAGCAAGGCAUGAAAAAUUUAAGCAUGUAGAUACACCACAAUUCAAUACAUAAAAAGCAACCGAAUUUACUGGACAUUAAAGCAAAAUCAAUAGAUAACAUUCAUUUAAUUUAUAUAAGAUAAUAAAAGAUCAUCCCUUGGAACUGGAUGCCACUCUAGUAGUAUCAACUAUUUCUCCUAUGACACCUUGUCGAACCCAAUUAAUGUCAUCAAAUAUAACACUUUGAUGACUACUUGAAGGCUGACUUUGCAAGUACAUCUCAACAUCUAUAGGAUCCAUCUUCAAAUCAUCUCGUGGUACAGUUGGAAUAACAACAUUCCAUCCCUUAUCCAAAGGAUCCUCCACGUAAAAUACUUGCUUCACUUGGGAUGCAAGAACGAAGGGUUCAUGGUGGCGCUUCACAUUCAUAAAAUUUACAAGUGUAAACCCAUCAUCAUCUUGUUUCAAUGUUUUCCACUUAGAGACCCAAUCACAGUCAAACAAAACCACUCUUCGACCUCCACCAUAGUCCAAUUUCAGAAUAUCCUUUAAGACACCAUAAUAGGCCAAGUCACUUGAAACCGGAUUCAUAUCCUUGGUGCUUGCGAAACUUGAAGUUAUUGCAGUAACAAUCACCCCGCUAUUCUGAUUUUUUCUUUUGCUCUCCAAAUUUUUUGUAUGGAAUCUAAAACCAUUCACAAUGUAUCUCUCAUACUUCAAACCCACAACAUUUGGACCCUUGGCCAAUAAUCUCAAAUCUUUUGAGAUAACUUCAUUCUCGGGUAGAAAAUCAUCCACCUAUGCAAAAUAAAAAAGUAAAUUAAUAAAAUAAUAAUACAAAUUUGGAUAGCUAAAAGUACAGUGAUACUUUGUAUAUUAACUCACAUGGCUAUCAAACCAAUUUGCAAAUGUCUCACUAUGAAUUCGCUCCUUUUCAUGUCUUGAACUACGCAAAUGCUGCUCUUCAACCAAUUUACGGUGUUGGCUUCAUCAAUUAUAAAAGUCAAUUAAGAUAGUUGUCUAUAUACAUCUAUCAUUAUUAAAAGAUGAUUAAUUUUAUAAAACAAGUAUAGAGUACAAUUACUUACUUGAUAUAUGGAUCCAUGGCUUCACAAUUGAAUAUCACAUACUGGUGUGCUUUUUUUAUGGUUUCAUCAUCCAUUACAACUGAAUUUCCUUUUCCUAAUGGCCGACCUUGUAUAGAAAAAAUCUCAAGUCCUUUAGUUGAACUUUCACCUCCAUCUUCAUUUCUACUUGAUCGAUUGAACUUAGUUAUCACUUCAUCAGAUAAGUAGAGAGAGCAAAAUGUCAAGCACUCAUCAACUAGGUACCCCUCUGCAAUUGAACCUUCAGGCCGACUUCUAUUUCGGACAUAAUUUUUCAAAGUGCAUAGGUACCUAAGACAAUUACAAAAGUAGUAAGUGAUUAAUAAUGAAACUCACAUAGCAAUAAAAUAGAAAUUAUAAAGUUAUAAAUGUUACCUUUCAAUCGGAUACAUCCAGCGAUAAUGUACUGGACCAGCUAUCCUUGCUUCGGUUGCUAAAUGACUGAUCAAAUGCACCAUUAUAACAAAAAAUGAUGGUGGAAACACACGCUCUAACUGGCAUAGUACAACAGCAAUUUCCUUUUCCAUACGAAUUAGUUCCCGAGGACAAAGAGCUUUACAACAUAAAUCUCUAAAGUAUUUGGACAGCUUUAUCAAUGGAGACCGCACCGAUUUUGGAAGAAGUUUUCUAUAACAGAGUGGUAACAGUUGCUGCAAUAAUAUGUGAUUGUCAUGACUCUUAAGUCCGGUUAGUUUGGGAGGUUUCAAAUGCACGGACUUUGAAAUUGUGGCUGAAUAACCAUCCGGUACUUUAACCUUUUUCAGAAUUUUACAGAAUAACUCUUUCUCCUUCUUAUCCAAAUAGAAACAUGUUGGAGGCAAGUAUGCUCUCCCAAACUCAUCUGUAAUAGGAUGAAGACCUGCUCGUAUGCCCAUUUCUUCCAAAUCACGCCGUACACCAAGGUUAUCAUACUUGCCAUCCACAUUCAAUAAUGUUCUAACUAUAGUCUCACAUACAUUUUUUUCAAUAUGCAUGACAUCAAGACAAUGACGUAACAAAUUGUUCUUCCAAUAUGGCAAGUCAAAAAAAAUGCUUUGUUUCUUCCAGUUAAAGGGUAAUUCAGGGUUAUCAUUGACUGCCUUCCCAAAUUUGAUUUUAUAAGAUCUCAACUCCUCCAAGAUCAUAUCACCUGUCAAGCGAGGUGGUGCAACUCCAUGUUCUUCCUUUCCAUCAAAGUGACGUUUAUCUUUUCGAUAUGGAUGCUCCUUUUCCAGAAAUCGCCGAUGACCCAUGUAACAUUGUUUUGAACCAUGUCUUAAAUGGUGUGAAACGGUGUGCUUAUGACAUACUGGACAUGCUAAAUAACCUUUAGUACUCCAACCAGAUAAAUUAGCAUAACCAGGAAAAUCACUAAUGGUCCAAAGUAAAGCAGCAUGCAUCUGAAAAUUUUCCUUUGAUGAUGCAUCAUAAGUGGUCACACCUAUAUCCCACAAUUCCUUCAACUCAGCUAUAAGAGGUUGAAGGUAAACAUCAAUGUUAUUCCCAGGUGCAUAUGGGCCAGGAAUGAGUAGUGACAGCAUAAAGUAUGGCUGUUUCAUACACAUCCAUGGUGGCAAAUUAUAAGGCAUCAGUACUACCGGCCAUGUACUAUGGUUCACAUUCAUAUUUUUAAAUGGAUUAAAUCCAUCAGAAGCUAAACCCAAUCUGACAUUACGAGGAUCUUUUGCAAAUUCGGGAUUUUGGUAAUCAAAUGAUUGCCAAACUGGAGUAUCUGCAGGAUGUCUCAUGCGACCAUCCUUAGUACGACCAUCGACAUGCCAUUUCAUGAAAGAUGCUGUUUUAGAUGACAUGAACAGACGCUGUAAUCUGGGUUUAAGCGGAAAGUGCCACAAAACCUUGUGGGGAACCUUUCUUUUUUCACCAGUAGGAUCAUCCUUUGUUCUUUCCCACCGUAGAUGCUUACAAGUGUCACAUUUUAUCUUUGAUUCAUCUUUUCCCCAAUACAAUGUGCAAUCAUUAGGACAUGCAUCAUAUUUUUCGUAUCCAAGUCCUAGUUCUUUCAUUAUUUUUUUUGCUUCAUAAUAAGAAUUGGGUAGAUUUACACCUUCUGGGAGUGCUUGCCUCAACAAAUCAAGAAGUGUAUUAAAUACAGAAUCGGGCAUUUUGCUGAGACAUUUAAUAUGUAACAAACGGACCAGAAAAGAUAGUUUAGAGAAUUGCGGGCAAUCUGGAUAAAGAGGCUGCUUCGAAUCAUUUAUUAAAUUGUAGAAUUUUUCUACAUCAAUAUUCGGCUGUUCUGUUUCUAAUCUUUCUCCCAUAUCUAGGUCCCGAUUUAGAACUCCUAAUGCAUCUUGUAACAACCCCUGCAUAUCAUCUAUGGGAUUGAGUGGUGGAACUUCAUUUGAUGAGCCAUGUGAAGAUGUAUGAUGCAAAUUCGAAGAUACCUCUCCAUGAGCUAACCAUUAAGUAUAUCCCUUAAUAAACCCUUUCCAUAUCAAGUGUGAUUUGGCCUGCUCUCUCGUGACAAAUACCCCAUUCCCACACCUAAUGCAUGGGCAUAAAAUCAUCUCCCCUAUACUUCCAUUCGUAAAUGCAAAAUCAAGAAAAUCUUCUAAACCAGCUUUAUACUCAUCACUUGAUCGUGACAUACUCAUCCAUCUUUUAUCCAUGUUCACAUAGAUUCUAAUUAUAAAAAGAAAAAAAGCCUCAUUAGCAUUUCAACGAGAUUCAUAGAAGACACAAAUCACUCAUGGAAUAUCUUCUAAAGUAAAGAUACCAAAAGUAUCAAAACAGAAUGUUAGAACCAAUCCAAGUGUUCUAGACAUAUCAAAACAGAAUGUUCACAUAUCCAGGUGUUCUAGACAUUUGAGUAAUAAGAACUAAUCCAAAAGUAUCAAAAAGAAUGAUAUCAAAAGGAAAGACAGCAAAAGUUCAAUUCCAGAUUGUAAGACACAAACUAUCAAACAGAUGGUAGGCACAAAAGAAUAACAGUCUACAGAAUUCAAAAUUAGUCCAAUAAUGUAGCCAAUAUCAAUUUGAGAUAGAGAACUUAGACAAAAUAUUAGCAACCAAACUAAUCAGCAAUAGAAGUUCUACCCAAUUGAAAAUAACUGCCACGAACUUUAAUGUAUUGGUAACCUAAGAGUAGCAGAAACUGAAUGUAUAAUUUUGCUUACCAACAACUCCAAUUUGCUCCAAGGGGAAAGGGAAUCAACGAUCAGUGCUCGCAGGAUGGAAUCAAAGAUGAUGGCCGCUACAAACUUGAAACUGCAUUGAUGGAAUAAGCUUGACUUAGUCACCACUUUUUUUUUUAGUCACAAAAAGAAUAUUAUAUUAUGGAAAUGAAGCCUGAAGAGGUAGAACAAAAUGAUACAACAUGAUCCCGUAUAGUUGUGGUAUGCAUUAAGCAAAAGAUGAAUGACCACAAGUUACAAACAGUACAUCUAUCCUUCUGUAGUUCUCCAAAGUGUCUUAGACAAAGCAUCACACGUCUUCCUACUAAAAUGCCGCCCUUAAGACCAACAUUGAGUUUCAUGAUCCUUGUAGACUAGUAACACUUUGACAGUGAAAAAAAAUGUGGCAUAUAUGAAAAUGAACCAUAUAGAUAUACUCAAUAGAUCCGUAGAAAAAAUUGCAAGACCUGCUAACAAGCAACAAUUUUUUUUCCUUGGUUUGGUUUUUGGUGCUGCAAUUUUGAAAAAGGAAUUAGCAAAACACAAAUGAGAUGUCAAUACUCAAAAAAUCAAAAAAGCAUUUAUGUCAAAAAAUUAUUGAGCUGAUAUGAGUAAUUUAUCAUCACAUAUCAAGCCUAUUAAGUGAAAAGAAGUUUCUAAUGUCCAGUACGCAAACCAACUUUUUCAAUUUUUCAAUAUUACUAUUACGGAUGAAAGGGGAAGGAAAUUGAACUCUAUAAAAUGCAAGAAUGGUCAAACUAGACUUCAUUUUGGCCAUCAUAUGCAAAUCUUGGCAUCACAUUUUUCUUUUCAUGAUCUUCUGAUGGAGACUAAUCUUCGAGAGAAAGGUCGGAAUCUGCCGCCUGCUGUGCAGUAUUUAUAAGUUAUAACUAUGGUGGUGGAUGAUGAAAAUACGAAAGAAGAUGCCUUUUGGAGUCCUGUGGGUGCGGGAUAUAGUUUUGCCAAAGGCCAAUUGGCCAUGGCCUCUACCAUUAAUUACUACAUGGUGGAUUGUGGGGUGAUCAUUCCGGAGUUCAAGAAAGAAAGAAAGAAAAAAAAGAAGAGAAGUAAACUAGUAAAGGGGGCCAACUUUUCCAUGACUCAACUGCCCCCUUUUUGUUUUUGGGUUGCGCUUUGCACUUGCAGGUUCCCUUUCGAAUGCGGGCAACAAGCCUCUCACGUCCAUGGAAUAUCCCUCCUAUUUUUGCCAAAUGUAUAAAGGCAUUUCAUUUUCAAUUUCACACCAGUGGCAGUGCCGCAGUGGUUUGUGGGACACUCAUUCCGGGAAAAAACGACACCACCUGCACUGCAGUGUAGUACUAUUGUCUCAAUUCCCACUCCCGGAUCGAUUGCUCGGUAUUUAAAGGGGAAGGAAAUUGAACUCUAUAAAAUGCAAGAAUGGUCAAACUAGACUUCAUUUUGGCCAUCAUAUGCAAAUCUUGGCAUCACCAUAGUUUUUUUUUUCUAAUUUCAGUGUGUUGAAGGAUCAAAAAAUUUCAAAACAAAAGGGAGGCAAAGAAAUUGAGAACCCCAUUAGGUGGUCUCUGUUUUGCUGGUUAUCAGACGAAAGGCAAAAGAAUUCUUCAACUGCUGCUCCACUGACCCAAAAUUUCACAUCCGAAAAAGUCUGACUUCCUGACGCUAUAAACCGUGAAGAUGGGGUUGAUUCUUGGAGGGAGGUAAGCGACGCUGGCUCCAACAAAUGGUUGAUCUUAUCGCCUGUAGACAUCCACGGCAAGGACUUUAUGCUCUGUUUCCGACAUCAAUUUCUCGCAGAGGUGGGAACCAAUGAAUCCACCGGCACCAAUCAUGCAAAUUGUCAUCUGCUUUAUCCGAUUCCCAUCCAGAUCUACUCUUCCUGCCAUUUCGUCUUCCCCAAAUCCUUAACCCUCCGUCACCCACCUUGCUCCUACCCCAUUUCCCAUGCGUCCCCAGAGAAGAAAUAAAAUAAUAAAAAAAGCUAUCAAUUUUGUCUAAAAUGUAUAGGUUACCUGGUAGUAAUCUUCCUUCAGAUGCUACCUUCAGAUGCUUCCUUCAAAUCAAUUUUGUUGAUUAUGCUACCUUCUUAAAAGUUUACAUGUUUGUCUUCAAAUUGGGGAGAAUUAAAAAUCGGGUGGAAGAAAGAGAAAGAAACAAGGGAUUCGGUGGUGAGAGGGGUGAAGGGUUUAGUUUUUUUACAAAGACAGUUAACGUGGUUGAAGGCUUUAGGAGAGAGAACUAGGAUGAACAAAGAGUAAAGUACAUUGGAUUCAUUGGAGUAGUUACAAUUUUUCCCCCAAAAAAAUGGCGCCGUAGUGCAGCACCAUUCUCUUUCCCGCUUUUGUUUUUCACUUUUUACUUCUAUUUGGAUAAGUUAAAGUGAUACGAUGUCGUACCCGUCAUUUUUUUUGUCACUUUAAUGACGUUCCCUACUGCAUGUUACAUUAAUUUGCUGUUGUGACACUUUUAGGAAAAUGUCAUAUUAAGUGUGUGACUAAAGGUGCUUUUUGUAGUAGUGAAAAUAUAACUUUCAUAAAUAUCCAAGUAAAGUAUUUAAUCAAAUACAUUUCGAUUUAACACAGUAAAAUAGGAUUGACAAUAAAAAAUUUCAUUUUUGCACAUUUGAAAUCUCAGAAGGGUAAGUACCACCUACCUUCGUCUGGUUGCUCGAGUGGAACUACCUUAGGUCUCUUAAACUGGUACCGUACCUAUCAAAUGUAUAGGUUUUCUAAUUAGUUGUUAUUUUCUAUAAACACAUAACAGACAAACUCUGAGUGAGUUGAAGACUCGUGUCUAGACCAUUGUAUGAACCCUAACAUCAUUUUCCCUAAAUUGGAUGAUUUCCAUUUUUGGAAAGUUUUCUAAUUUAGAAAGUUUCUUUUUUAGAAAGUUUCUUAAUUUGGAAAGUUCGCCUUUUUGUAAAGUUUUAUAAUUUAAAAGAAAAUAAUUAUUUCUAAUCAUGCUUAUUAUCUUGACUAUUAUCUUAUUAUACAUAUUUAUAAUUUAUAAUUAUUCAUUAUUAUUGUUAUCGUUAUUAUUAGUGUUAUCGUCAACAUUAUUAUUUACUACUAGGAUCAUUAUCAUUAGUGUUAUUAUUAGUAUUAUUAUCAGCAUUAUUAUUAUUAUUAUUUUAAGCAUUUCGUUUAACCAUUUAAAACUUAUCUUACCUUGUCCAAUCUGGCUUAAUACAGCUAAAUUACAAUGUUUUUGGAUUUCCAUUUAAGUAUCUUAUACGUAAUUAACUAAGUAUAAUUUUUACAUCACUAACCUUUCAAUUCUAACAAUUAUUUUAAUUUGGGUUCUGAAUUUUUAAUACCCACGUUAAACUAUAAUUUAUAGUUUUAAAAUUUAUUUAUUAGACAUUUACUACAUUUUAUAUUAUAUUUUGGUCCCUGUAUAAUUCGUCAAAUUUUCUCUGUCCUUGGGUUAAACCCAUGAUUGGCCAAAAGGCCAACCAUGGCUUUUAUUCAUUGUCGCCAGCAAGUGCUGGCGACCUCCUCUUCAAAAUCUUUCUUUUUUUUUUUUUUUGCUUCGGUCUUGCAAAUUCUUUCUCUGCCGCUAGAGAUGGCGGCCCCCCACUCUUCCCUUUUUGUGUGUGUGGCGUUGCUUAGCCAAAACAGAGCAGCGGUAGCAGCCGCUGCUCUUCUUUUCCCUUAUUAUUUUUUUUAACAGAUUCAAACACCCUAUAAUCUCAAGAUUAAAAUCAAUCCCUCUAUUUCUAUUAACCCAGAUAUGAAUCUUAUCAAACAUAUAUAUCUACACCUAUAUAGCAACAAUUCAUGUCCAUAAAAUUCCUACAACAAUUAAUACAAUUACUAAAACUUAAAAGAGAAGUUUUUUUUGCGUAAACUUGAGACUUACAGGUUUUAGGUAGGGGUGGCAAUUUUCGACACGACUUGAAAAUAUGACACGAACCUAACACGAAAUUAAUGGGUUUGGGUUGAGGUUUUGGGAAUUCGGGUCAGAAUCGGAUUGAACCCGAUGAAUCCGAAAAGAAAACAGGUCGAUUUCGGGUCAACCCGUGAUGACCCGAUAUGACCCGUUUACAAAUUAAAAAUAAUUUAGUAAACAUAAAAUAAUUUUAUCUAACUAAACUAAGUUAUUCUUUUUUUCAAAGGCAUUAAUUACUUAAUCCUAAAUGAAUUUAUUUAAUUUUUGUGAAGUUGAAAUUAUUAUAUUUGGACAAAUAAUAUAUUAUAUUAUUUUUUACUUUUAUACUAUUUUAAUUUAUUUUAUAUUUUGUUUGGGAUAAAACACUUUUACGGUGUUUAAUUUAUUUUAGAUUUGGUUUGGAAUUAUUUAUUUAAAUUUUUAUUACUUGAUUAUGUAAUUAGUUUUGUGAGAAAUUAAUUUUAUUAGAAAUUACAGUGAUAAAUUAAUAAAUUAAAAUUAAAUUUCGGGUCAUUUCGGGUCGACCCGCCAACCCGUCAACCUGAAAUUUUCGGGUUCGGGUCAGUAUACCUGACCCGUCAUGGGUUGGCGUGUCGGGUUCGGGUCAAUAGAUUCUCUGACGGAUCGGGUCAGACCCGACCCGCCAACCUGAUUUGGACCUGAAUUGCCAUCCCUAGUUUUAGGUACCUAGCUGUCGGAUCGAUUGACGAUGUCGUCUACUUCUCCUUUUCUCCUCUCUGGCGGCUCUUGCUCUAGGGAGGUAGACGAAAGAAAGGUAAGGUUGGGAUUAUUUUCUGUUUAGGGUUUCAAUAAAAUCCUAAACCUAGCACUACUUACUAAUAGGUGGCUUGGGUAAAAGUUUUAGUUUAUUAGAACCCCUUAUCCCAUCCUACCGUUAUUUUAUUUUACUCCUUUUACAUAAUAGUUUUAUCUUUUUAAUUAGUUGAGAAAAUAAAAUGAUAAAAAUAAUAAAAUUGGUGCCAACAGUCAUGUGUUUCACAGUAAGACUCAACACGACUCUUUCCAAAAAGAAUUUCUCGUCUGUCUAUCGCUUGGUCAAUGCUCAAUCUUGAUGCCAUUCCCUCGUCUUCAGAGAUGGGACAAACUCUACCCAUAAACUAGUAGUUCAAACGUGCCUUCCAACAUCUUGGUAUUGAAUCUGCUUUUUCUACAAAAAAAAAAAAAAAAGUAUCACAAUAUGUUUGUUUCGAUAGGGUAUUAUUUGAUAUAUUAUUUGGAAUAAUUACUGUAGCACUUUUGUGAUGUGAUGUAUGUGAGAUAAAAAGGUGGUUGAAAAUAUAAAACGGUGGGUUGGAAAAUGUGUUUAUAAUGCAAGCGAGACGAAUUCAUUAUAAAAAAUUGUUAUAUUCUAAAUGUUUAACUACCAAAUUAUUUUUCUUAAACAAAUAUACUUGAAUUUGUUAUAAUGUUAGUAAUAUAGAUUGAAUACUUUAAUGCAUAGAAAGAAUUUAACAAGUAGUCUUUGAGAUAGUUAUAAAAUGCUUACAACGAUUAUAUACCUAGAACUACAUAUUAAUUUUGUUUUGUGUAAAUUACUGAUAACCCUCAUGUGAUUUCAUCUAUUAUCACAUGAUCUCCCAAGCGUUUCAAAAUAUCUACUUCACUCCUUAUAACUUCAUGUACAUUGAAAAUUUAACGAAAAACAGUCUUUGUAACGUUGUUAGUUAAAAUGUCAGUAAUGCUCUUGCUUAAAUGCUAAAUCAAAUGACGACUUAACCACCUUGUACAAAACCAUGAGGAGAUUAUGUAGAUAAAUACAAAAAUCACAGAGGGGGUAAAGUAGAUAUUUAUAUAAACUACAUGGGGUUAAGUGAAUAUUAUGAUUUCCUCACACGUAUUUUUAGUAUAAAACUACAUCAGGUUAUGUGGCUAUUUUAAAAUCUUAGGGGAAUCAUCUGGCAUUAUGUAAAAUCAUAAGUGAUUAUAUAUAAUUUACCCUUUUAUUUUUUAUUAAAUAUAAAAGAUGCAGCAAUCCAUUUUCUCAUGAAUGAAUAUCUAAUUUCAAGCAAAGUCAAUGAACUUACCUAUGUAACAAUAAAAACCACACUAAGCAAAGUAUGGAUAAAAAGAAAAAUUCACAAUUUGUUAAAAAAAAAGAUAAAAUUGUUAGAAAGAAAGAUAGAAACCUUAUGAAAACGCAAUUAGAUUUUUAGUUCAAUUAGAUAAAGAGUUAAUAGUGAAAAGUAUAAAUUGAAUAAUAAGAUAAUUAAUAACAAAGGAAAAUUGGUUAAAAUGUUCCUCACAUUUCACUAAAUAAAUAUUUUCAUCCUUCAUUUUUUAAAUGUUAACUUUAUAUCACUAUUCAUGAGUGCGGGAUAUGAAUAUAAAAUUGACCUCAGCCCACAGUCAAAUUUUACAUUUAAAUUUCUAAAUACCUUACACACAAUUUUUUAUAAGUAUACAAGUCAUGUUUGAAUAUAGAAUAUUAAGGGUCGAUUACUGAUGCUAUUCGAGCUCUUUUAUUAUUUAGAAGCUCACUAAUUCAAUAAAGUAAAUCUAAACUUACAACAUAUAAGAGAAUGAAGUGAAAAGUACUCUUACUAAGGAAUCUCCCAGGUUAAUUGUUUGUCACUACCUCAGCUUACUAUAGCGUAAUUUUCUAAUGUAUGUGACACCCGCACGCAGAUUUGGUACUUAAAAUACAAUUACUAGGAGCCCAUUUAAGUAGAUCUUGGCUGAUAGGUUUGUCUAGGGAUAGCUUGAAUAGCUUGACUAAUAGAAUCUAGAAAAGAGAAGGAAAUUCUAUCAAUGAUCCAAGUCCCUUAUACCUCAAAGAGAUCUUUGACAAGAAGUCUCUCUUCAUCAAGGAGUAGAGGUCCUUGGAUUAAGGAUCUAAGAGAGAGUUGGACAACCAUUCCCAGACCUUGGUAGAUGCCCCAUCCCUAACUAGCUUAGUAGUACCCUGAUUAAAGAGAUCAAUCCCUUAGAUGCCCCAUCGUUAACUAGCUUGGUGAUACCCUGAUUAAAGAGAUCAAUGUCAUUUUUCAGCCCCAAGAGAUUAACAGAUCCUCUAUCCUUGCUUAAGGUUAACUAGUCAUGGCUAAGAGUUAAAUCCCCGCCCACAUAUUUUCUUGAAAGAACUUGCACCCAAGGUGUAUGUUGAUUAGUUGUAAGCUACCAGCAAACUUUUGCUAAGGAAAAAGUGUUAAUCAAUGCUAUUUGUUUGAGACCCAAUCCUUCUUUCCUUAGGAGUAGUCACCGAAUCCCAAUCCUUCUUUCCGUGGCAUAUUAGCUACUAAAUACAUUUUUCCCCACUGAAAGCUUGCGACCAAGUGUAAUAGCACGAUCAGCCAAAUUUUUUAGUGCAUUUAUGACACAGAACUUACAAUUGGAAAUUGUUGUCCAAACAUCAAGAUUUCCUAAAACCCCCUAUAAGGCUUGUUCGAUACCUGGUGGUUGAACUAAAUAACCAACUUUUACUUUGCAAAUUGAGUAGUUUUGUUUCAAGUGGAGUCUUUCAGGUAGCUGGUAUUUUGUCAUUCCCUUAUUUGCAUUCGUUGAGUUUGAACAUUGUUACAAGAGUAGUAAAGAAUGGUGGAGUUAGGAUCUUAGCUUAGGGGGUACAAGUUUUGACUAUCACGUAAGAUCUGAUAAUACUAAGGGUUAAUCACAAAAGCUCUCCUAAUGUAUAGUCACUUUUGCACUUUGUCCCUUAUUGUUAUCUUUUUUAUAUCACCAUUAUAGUGUUAGAGUUGACUAAAAGUUUGGGAAUAAAUUGAGAGUUGACUAAAAGUUUUCUUUUUUAUAUCUUUUUUAAUUACAGUAUUUCCCCUUAAAGUAUAACAUCUUUUGUGCUUUAUCCUCUAACACCAUUUUUUAUCAAUUUGUUUGCCUGUUCCUAAAAUCAUUAGUGAAUUCCAAUAUUUGAUAACACUCAAGACAAUUAACAUCUAAAAAAUCAGCGUUCUUAACAUAAUAAUAAAAAAUACUAAUAUUUUUAUAUUUGUGGUCUUAGUUAAAUUUCAUUCCAUAAUUUUACUUUUUUUUAGAUUGAGGAGAAUAUCUUGCUAAUUUGACUUAAUAUGGGCAAAAAUUGUUAUUAAAAAAUAAAAAUGUGAAAAUAUUUUUAAAGUCUAAAAGUGAUGGAGAUAUUGUUAGUUUCUCUUUGGGAAUGUACAUAUGGCUAAACUUUUCUUUCAGUAGCUAGAUGUUUUUUUAAUAUGGGAGUGUACAUUAAUGUGUUGGUAAUGCUAAAAAAAAUAAAUAUGGUUGAUUUGAAGUUUAAAGUUUCCAGAGUUGUUCUUUUAAUAUACCAUGCUUAGAUGUUAUUAAAAUUUAUUUGGAUUUCUAAAAAAUUUAUUACAUCUAAAGAUGUUUUUUAAUCAUCUUUUUAUUUUUUCAACCACCUUUUUUUCUCACAAAUAUCAAAAUGCAAAAAGUGCUGUUAUUCUAAAAAAAAAUUUCAAAUAAUCUCCAAUCCAAACAAACCCAUCUAUAGACCUUUAAUAAUAUUUUCAUAGUUAGUUUUGGACUAAUAUUUUUUCCGUUAUCACAUGAGAUGAGCGAGAUAUUUUUCUUUAUCUAAAAAACUUGUAAUUAUGGGGAUAAAAUUUAAUAAGACCUAUAUCCAUAAAUAUAUAAUAAUUUUUAUUAUGAUGUUAGUGACAUUAAUUUUUUAAAACAUUAUUGGUCUUUAGUGGUAUAAAAUAUUAGAGUUUGCUUGAUGGUUUUAAGGACAAAUAGAGAAAUUAAGAGAAAAAUGAUAUUAGAGGAUAAAGUGUAAAAUGGCUAUACCUUAAGGGAAUUUAAUCUAAUUAACCCUUCAGGGUAUCAAUGUCUAUUUCCGUUACGCAAUGUUAGAGUUGAAUAGCAUUUUAAAGUGAGAAAAAAAAUAACAUUAUGGGAUAAAGUGUAAAACUGGUUAAAUCUUAGGGGAAAUUUUGUGAUUAACCCAUGCUACUUGAUAGACAUGUAUGUUAUUAAUACCUCUGAAUCUAAAUAGUAAAUCAAAUUAAUGAUAGAAAUCAUUCUAUUUAUCUGAGUUUUGGAUAAUUAGAACAUAAAAAGGCUAGCAUUGGGAGUGGAGACCGCAGACAUGGUACAAUUUAAGGGAAGGCAAAAUUAAGAGAAGGCAAUUGCCCACCGUCAAUUAUAUAUGGCUUCAUCGCCAACUAUAAACUAACUGACUUUGAGUUGGUAUUCGGCAUUUAGGCUCGACUCAUCUAUCUCACGAGCGUAAAAUUGUACUCGAGUCUGAUUUUUUAAAAUAGGUCCCAAACUCAAGUUCGAGAUUGAAUUCGACUUGUUUAGAACACAAAAACAAACUCAAACAAGUUUGAGCUCAAUGAAUUUGAAAAAAAAUGCUCUGAAGUUUUAUCUUAUAAACGAAUAUAAAGAUUCAUUACGCAAUCGCUGAUCAAUCAUUUCCUAAUGAUGUCCUCUAAUAUGAGUUAAAAUGCUCAAAAACAAGCCCAUAAUGAUAAAAGAACUUAUUCGCUUUUCUUUGCGAACCCGAACGAGCUGCUUGCAAGCUAAGCUUGGCUUGACUUGUUUGAUAGUCUUGCUCAACUCCUUCUACAAAAGAACAAGGUACUUUAGCUAUAGAAUUCCUACAGCAUUGUUAAAAUCUGGAAGAGUAACAAGGUGUGAGGUCCUUGUUCAUGAGUCAUUGUUGCUGUUCUAGAACAACAGUCAACUUUUUCUUCUUCUUCUUGUUGAAAGAUUUUUGUUGGGCAUACUUGCAAAACAUUGAGCAAUGCACUUUUGGUAAUAAAUAGUAGGGGUGGCAAUUUUCGACACGACCUGAAAACACGACACGAACCUAAUACGAAAUUAAUGGAUUUGGGUUGAGGUUUUGGGAAUUCGGGUCAGAAUCGGAUUGGACCCGAUGAACCCGAAAAGAAAACAGGUCGAUUUCGGGUCAACCCGUGGUGACCUGGUAUGACCCGAUAUGACCCGUUUACGAAUUAAAAAUAAUUUAAUAAAUAUAAAAAUAAUUUUAUCUAACUAACCUAAGUUAUUCUUUUUUUCAAAGGCAUUAAUUACUUAAUCAUAAAUGAAUUUAUUUAAUUUGUGUGAAGUUGAAAUUAUUAUAUUUGGAUAAAUAAUAUAUUAUAUUAUUUUUUACUUUUAUACUGUUUUAAUUUAUUUUAUAUUUUGUUUGGGAUAAAACACUUUUACGGUGUUUAAUUUAUUUUAGAUUUGGUUUGGAAUUACUUAUUUAAAAUUUUAUUACUUGAUUAUGUAAUUAGUUUUGUGAGAAAUUAAUUUUAUUAGAAAUUACAGUGAUAAAUUAAUAAAUUAAAAUUAAGUUUCGGGUCAUUUCGGGUCGACCCGCCAACCCGUCAACCUGAAAUUUUCGGGUUCGGGUCAGCAUACCUGACCCGUCACGGGUUGACGGGUCGGGUUCGGGUCAACAGAUUUUCUGACGGGUUGACCCGAACCCGACCCGCCAAUCUGAUUUGGACCCAAAUUGCCACCCCUAAUAAAUAGGAACUAAAGAGCCCCGGGAAAUUAGUCAAUUUACUUUUGGUAGUUCGAUCUGCCCUUACUAGACAACCGACUAUUAAAGGUUUACUUGUGUCAAUUUUUUUUUUUUUUUGUUAAUCGUCAACUCUAUUUUUGGUCCUACUCUAUUUUAAUAUAACUACGGAGGAGACUCAACUGGACCUAUAGGAGACCGAUGGGGACAGAACCAUCACUGGACCAGAUGAGUGCACCACGCACCCGUCUAAAUUUUUUUUGAAGAACCACAAUUGUGGCUUGUCUCCCACCCCACUAAAGCCUUAAAGGCUUGGUGGUAGUUUGCAUCGAAGAAAACUCAGCCAUGAGUCACCGUGAUCGGAAUUGAAUUUACACAAACUUUUUUAUACCUAAAAAAGAAGAAAAAACUUGAUUGAGGUUGCUUGGAUAUUGAUUUGACAUUUCCACUGGAACACGGUAAAAUUGUCAUAUUGAUUUGAUAUAUGGUAAAAUUGUCAACUUUUCAGGGCAUCAACUGGAACACGGUUGGCACCAUUUGGGUAGAACUAAUUAAUGGAGACAGAUGCACACAAACUCUCUCCCCUUUUGUGAGAGCUUCUCUCUCUUCAAUGAAGCACAUUUCUCCUGGGUUUUAGGAGGCCACCCACCAAACUGUCCAAAAUUCAAAAUAAACUACUAUAUCGGUAGAACCCACCAAGAUCUGCAUCUAUCAUCUCCAAAUUUCAUUCCCAUAUUCGUUCCUUGGCAGUAAUUACUUACUAGGAUAGAGUCCUGCACUUUGUUCUGAUCCGUUGACAAGAGAAUUCGCAACCGCUACUUGAGAGUGUGCAUUAGAUAAACUCCAUUCCAUAGUAACCUGCCAAUCACAUGGAGGAAUAAGACGUACUAGGCAAAUCCAAUGUCACAGGUACAUGUCUCAAGAGAGAUUCGAAUUCGGGAUAAUAGGAAAGCAUAACACCAACUCUACCAUUUCGGCCAACUCAAGGGACUUUGUUCUGAUAUGUGGACUUUUCCUUCCUCUGUAGAAAAAAGAAAUCUCUUUAGGAUUUGGUCAUGUUUUGUUCUUUUGAUUAGGUCUUUUAAAACUUUCGAGGGCACUAAUUGCAUUAUUUCUUUACUUUGACGGUAUUCUUGGAGGGUAGUUAGUGGAGCAGUAUACAAGAAAUAGGGCAGGUUUAUAGAAUCAAUUAUGGAGUGGCUGCAUUAGCAUUAACAGAGAAAUCUUUUCAUCAAAUGCUGGCAUAUGUAAUAUAUUCCUAUGAUUUGGAAAAGAAAACUAAUAAAACAACGAUAUAUAGGAUCUGAGCAACUUUCUAUUUAUAAAUUAUCAUCUGCAUGAGAUAUUUGGGACCUCAGAACCUACUGAAGAUAUCAAUGUUAAAGGCAUGCACUUAAUUUUUUUUUUUGUCAAUAACGAUACAUUUGUAUAACCUACUCUAUCCUAAUCUAGGGGGAGGCUGUGGUAGGGGUUAGUGGGUAUACAGACCUAACUAGACCAAAAAAAUGUUAUGGCACAACUCUUAGAUUUUUUUCGUUGCAAGUGAGAUUUGAACACUCACCUACAGUUCAAGGAGGGACUUAAACCCCUCCCUGGUGGCCACUGAGCCAUUGGCCUAGUGGUUUAAAGGCAUGCACUUAAAAAAGUUGAAUCUCUAUUUGGAUUGUAAAUUAUUUGAGAUAUUUUUACUGUACUAUUUUUUGUGAUGUGAUGUAUGUGAGAUAAAAAGGUAUAUUGGAAAUUGUAAUGAUGAUGUAAGCAAAUAAAUUUAGGCAAUUGAAAAAUUGUGUCGACACAAGUCUAAAUCUCUGACAUAUAAGCAUCCAACAGGUUUUUGAAGAUUCUAUUGCACAUAAUAUCAACCUAGUACACCUUUUAAGUAGUUUAUCAAAACACAAAAGUUUAGUACAUUCUCUUCUUUUUUCAAAAUGCAGAAAUCUUGAACACUUUGAGGCGAUUAAUCAACACACAAAAUAAAAUUUUUAUUAUUGACAAAUCCGUUGCAUUACAUGCAAUGAACAUAGCCCAAGUUACUGAAAAUAACAAUAAUCUAUGUUUCCAGUACAAUGAGAUUAGGUGGAAACAUUAUUAAAAUAGGAGGUUGAAAUAUGGUAGUGAAGAGCAGGAAAUUCAUCUAAACACAGAGAUCAUUGAGCAAUGUAUCAGCAUGUUCUUGUAUCGCUUUCCAGGCCAACUCAACAUGCCUGUAGUCAGUCAGAGAUGCCCCAACAGCGAACCUGAUGGUAUAUACUCCUCCAAUCAUACCAUGAGUCAUGUAAACACGACCAGAUGAAUUGAUGGAUUCCAAAAGUUUGCGGUUGAUCUCGUUCAAAUCUUCCUCACUUGACAUGAUCUUUUGGUUUCCAGUUAAUGCAAAUGGAGAAAGCCUAAAACAUACCACAGAAAAAUUCCUAGGAAUAACAACUUCGAAAUUGUUAUUCUUUGCUAUCAGCCCUUCGAAAUGUUUGGCCAUUUUGACAUGGUUUCUUAUGAAUUUUUGGAGGUUAACGAUGCCAUAACUUCUUAAGACAAGCCAAAGCUUCAAAGCUCUGAAUCUUCGACUUAAUGCUAUCUGCCAAUCUUUGUAGUCCACCACUCUAUUAGAGUCAGUGGCUUGGUUCUUCAAGUAAUCAGGCUUUGUCGACAAGGCUUUUAUAAGGGCAUUGGGAUCCUGAACCCAAAGGCAGCAGCAAUCCAGGGUGGUAAAGAACCAUUUGUGUGCAUUAAGACUGAAAGAAUUUGCACCAUCAAUUCCAUCAAGAAAAUGUUGAAACUCUGGACAUAUACAUGCACUGCCUGCAUAUGCAGCAUCAACAUGAACCCAAAUCUCAUGCUGCUUAGCAAGCCCACAGAUCGAUCGUAAUGGAUCCACAGCAGUUGCUACGGUUGUCCCAACUGUGGCACAUAAGAAAAGUGGGACUAAACCAGCAUCAAUAUCUGCAUUGAUUGCAGAAUGCAAUGAAUCUGAAGAGAGCCCAAAAUUGGUGGAUUUUGUCGUUUGGAUGACACGAAAAUUGUUCGAAUUUAUCCCAGUAAUUUGUGCAGCCUUUUGGACAGAAAAAUGUGUUUGAUCUGAUGCAUAAACAACCAGCUUUCCAAUAUUUGCUUUUCCAAUUUUUCUAAGCAUCUGAUCCCUGGCGGCAGUAAGGGUGGCUACCAUGGCCUCACAUGUUGUACCUUGCAGUACACCUCCUCCACCACCACUAAACAAGAAUGAACUCGGAAGGUUCAGCAUUUUUCCAAACCAAUCCAUGACAACAUUCUCCAACUCAGUUGCAGCCGGGGAUGACAUCCAGUUAAACCCAACGGUACCGAAGCCAGUGCUGAGAACUUCGCCAAGAAAUCCAGGG